rnacentral:rRNA from 1 species
UAGGUGGCAAGCGUUACUCGGAAUUACUAGGCGUAAAGCGCACGUAGGCGGAAAUUUAAGUCUGUUGUGUAAUCUCCGGGCUCAACCCGGAAACUGCAACGGAAACUGGGUUUCUUGAGUGAGGCAGAGGAAGACGGAAUUCCUGGUGUAGCAGUGAAAUGCGUAGAUAUCAGGAGGAACACCGGUGGCGAAGGCGGUCUUCUGGGCCUUUACUGACGCUAAAGUACGAAAGCUAGGGGAGCAAAC